UCAGAACAACAAAUCGUGUCUCACAGAGUCAAUCCAAACCAAAAUAAAACCUAAUUCCUAAAAUCAAAGUAAAAAUAUAGCUCUAACCUGUUUUCUUUUCACCAUUUUGUGUUUGGUUCGUUCAAAUGUUGGCGAAGGUGAAGAUGAUGAAAUGAUGUUGAUGAUGAACGGCAUUAAUGGCGACGGCGACGGCGACGGAUGAAGUGAUGUUGGGUGAUGACGGCGUUAACGGCGAGGGUGAUGAUGGCGUUAAUGGCGAGGUUGAUGACGGCGUUAAUGGCGAGGGUGAUGAUGAUGGCGAUGGUGAAGAGAGUUACGAUGUUGAUGAUGAUGAAAAUGGUUUCAAAGGAAAUGAGUUUUGGAGAUGGGUUUUUUUGGAGUUGCUUAUCAAAAAAAAUGUAACUUGGAGUUGGGCUUUUUUUGAAGAUGGGUUUUGGAAUAUGGGGUGUAUGACAAAGGAGGGGGUGCACGAAGCAGACUUAUGCACCGUGCAUAAGGAUGGCUUAUGCACAGUAACCAGAC
rnacentral:lncRNA from 1 species